rfam:Triticum aestivum genome assembly, contig: Triticum_aestivum_CS42_TGACv1_scaffold_500272_6BL
CAAAUACUCCCUCCGUUAUGAAAUACUUGUCGAAGAAAUGCAUAAAAAUGGAUGUAUCUAGACUAAAAUGCGUCUAUAUACAUUCAUUCAUUCGACAAGUAUUUUCGGACGGAGGGAGUAAUAU